GACGAACGCUGGCGGCGUGCCUAAUACAUGCAAGUUGAGCGAUGAAAAUUGGUGCUUGCACCAAUUUGAAGAGCAGCGAACGGGUGAGUAACGCGUGGGGAAUCUGCCUUUGAGCGGGGGACAACAUUUGGAAACGAAUGCUAAUACCGCAUAACAACUUUAAACAUAAGUUUUAAGUUUGAAAGAUGCAAUUGCAUCACUCAAAGAUGAUCCCGCGUUGUAUUAGCUAGUUGGUGAGGUAAAGGCUCACCAAGGCGAUGAUACAUAGCCGACCUGAGAGGGUGAUCGGCCAAAAUGGGACUGAGACACGGCCCAAACUCCUACGGGAGGCAGCAGUAGGGGAUCUUCGGCAAUUGACGAAAGUCUGACCGAGCAACGCCGCGUGAGUGAAGAAGGUUCUCGGAUCGUAAAACUCUGUUGGUAGGGAAGAACGUUGGUGAGAGUGGAAAGCUCAUCAAGUGACGGUAACUACCCAGAAAGGGACGGCUAACUACGUG
rnacentral:rRNA from 1 species